CCUGGUUGAUCCUGCCAGUAGUCAUAUGCUUGUCUCAAAGAUUAAGCCAUGCAUGUCUAAGUGCAUGCCAAAUUAAGGUGAAACCGCGAAUGGCUCAUUAAAUCAGUUAUGGUUCCUUAGAUCGUACCCACAUUUACUUGGAUAACUGUGGUAAUUCUAGAGCUAAUACAUGCAAACCAGAGUUCCGACCAGAGAUGGAAGGAACGCUUUUAUUAGAUCAAAACCAAUCGGUGGCGGGCUUUGCUCGUCCACCGUUUACUUUGGUGACUCUGAAUAACUUUGUGCUGAUCGCACGGUCUCGUACCGGCGACGCAUCUUUCAAAUGUCUGCCUUAUCAACUGUCGAUGGUAGGUUCUGCGCCUACCAUGGUUGUAACGGGUAACGGGGAAUCAGGGUUCGAUUCCGGAGAGGGAGCCUGAGAAACGGCUACCACAUCCAAGGAAGGCAGCAGGCGCGCAAAUUACCCACUCCCGGCACGGGGAGGUAGUGACGAAAAAUAACGAUACGGGACUCAUCCGAGGCCCCGUAAUCGGAAUGAGUACACUUUAAAUCCUUUAACGAGGAUCAAUUGGAGGGCAAGUCUGGUGCCAGCAGCCGCGGUAAUUCCAGCUCCAAUAGCGUAUAUUAAAGUUGUUGCGGUUAAAAAGCUCGUAGUUGAAUCUGUGUCGCACGCUGUCGGUUCGCCGCUCGCGGUGUUUAACUGACAUGCUCGUGAGACGUCCUACCGGGGGGCUUAGCUCCUUCGGGGGCGGUCCAACUAAUAUCCCAUCGCGGUGCUCUUUAUUGAGUGUCGAGGUGGGCCGGUACGUUUACUUUGAACAAAUUAGAGUGCUUAAAGCAGGCUAUCAUUUGCCUGAAUAUUCUGUGCAUGGAAUAAUGGAAAAGGACCUCGGUUCUAUUUUGUUGGUUUUAAGAAACCCGAGGUAAUGAUUAAUAGGGACAGAUGGGGGCAUUCGUAUUGCGACGUUAGAGGUGAAAUUCUUGGAUCGUCGCAAGACGGACAGAAGCGAAAGCAUUUGCCAAAAAUGUUUUCAUUAAUCAAGAACGAAAGUUAGAGGUUCGAAGGCGAUCAGAUACCGCCCUA
rnacentral:rRNA from 1 species